rnacentral:lncRNA from 1 species
GGGCUGAUUUCUCAGGUUUUGCUCUCGCAUCCAAUUCCCUUUGACUUUCGCUAAAACCGGGCUGAGCGGCGGCAAAGGAUUUAGAUCGGCAUCAGAAACCCAUUGUUUUAUUGUAAAAACAGCCUCCGUUGCAUUGAAGAAAUCAGAAAGCUGCUUAUCAUCCAUUGACGAAAUGGUAAGAGAUCCUUCUGAGUACGAGGCCUCGGCAAGAUUGAUGGCAGAUUUGCCUUUUUGAAAUCGUCAAUGACAACCUCUACUCAUUGAAUCUCAGUCCUCUCGACCUCGGCUAGCCACCGACUCCUCACCUGAUUCUGGUAAGUACCAAGAUUCCAUCUUUCUCUUCGAUUUGAUUUGAUUCAGUUUAUGUUAUUGGUAUUUAAUUUGCAAGCUAUGUAUGAGUAGUAGGAAAUAUUUGGAGAAUUUAAUCAAUGGGUCUCAGAGUCUAUGGAUGGUAUUUGGUAACAAACGGGUCUGAUUGAUAUGGUUAUCCUUCAUCAAACAUUUGGAAUCUUAGAAUGAUUCCAAUUGAUAUUGAGUUCAAUACUUGCAGGAAAUAUUAAUAUGUGAUUCAGUAUAAAACUAUGAAUAAACCAUCUGGCUGGGCACCAAACUGAAUUCCUUGUAACUAGUUAAUCAAAGAGAGCUGUGGCAAUUUAAGCAAAAGAAUAUGUCAUUUGGUGUAUAUAAAUUUGAUGUAUGAACAUCUACACAGGUAUGUGUAAGCUAGUAUCUAGUUCUUCAUGAGGAGAAUAUAUAUGGAUGGCUAGUUUUACUAAAAGUUUCAAGUCUUCCUAAAAGUAGUAGCUUAUGUCAUACAUUUAUAUUGUCGAUUUUUUCAUAUGAUCAAUACACAUGGAGUCCUUAUAGUGAGAACCCUUAAGUUGAUGACUUUUCGGUUUAUGGUUUAAAAGACUUAUUUUUCGAACACAUAUUGACAUCUCAUCCGUUCAGUUUUUAGGUUUAUAUGUGUAGAUCAACCAUACAAAUUUUCAACCAAAUCGGUGAUUGUUAGGGUAACAAACUAUAUCAAAUUAAUGGACGAACUAAAUCUGACAAACAUGAACCGUUCAAGUUCAUAAUUGGUAAAUCACACUUAUGAAUGUCUUAACUAAUUUCAAUAUGGUUGAAAAUUUACAGAAAUGAUCUACUCAUAAAUACCUAUAAACUGAACGGUCAAGAUGUGGAUAUAAGAUCAAAAAUUGGGAUAAGCCGAAAAGUCCUUAACAAGUCCUCAAUUUAAGAGUCCUCAUUAGAAGGGCUCCCUCAAUAAACAUUGAGAUAAUUCCACUACGUCAAUUUUGGCUUCAGACGACCUGCCAGGUCGGUAGUCUGAAUGUUUUUUCUGCUGUCGUCUAUCAAGCAGUCAUCUGAUAAGCAUUCAGUCGACAGACCUCGUUAGACGUCUGAUACAACUUCGACGACAGAUUGUAUAUAAGCAACUGUCGUAUGUAUGCACCUACAUUCGUAACAAAAUUAAAGUUUAUGUCGUUAGAAAGCUUCUUAACGACAUAAAAGUAUCAUCGAAACUAAAGUAAUACUAAAGAUGUGAGCAGCCGUCUCUCGUCUCAAACUUAUUCACACGUUACUAUUUUGUCGUCUAAAUAUAUCUCAGACGACAUACGUCAAACCUCUUCUCUCGACUCAAAUGCAUUCAAACGUCACUUAUCUGUCAUCUGAUACUUACCUCAGACGACAUACAUUAUGGUCAUCUUUUACUUUAAGACGACAUAUAAAUGUCGUUUGAAAUAUGUAGAGACGUCGAUGUCCAUGGGGAUAUCUGUUGUCUGAUUUUAAUUUGGAUGACAAUUUAAUAAAGCAUUUGUACAACAUGAUUCAGAAAUCUCAAAUUCAUUCUCAUUGCCAAAACCAAUCAAAUUACAAAGAGUUAUUUGUUCUAAAGGGACCCAUAAGCUAUAAAAUAAAAUAAAUAUUAAACCAAAUAAUAGCAACUACAAUAUGUUGGUGUGCAGAAAGUCCUCCUAAGUCCUAACUGCACUAAGGCACUCUGAUACUUUCAUCAUACUCAUCAAACUUCAAUAUGCACCAUUCAUUCAAGUGUCACCUGCAACAUUGAAGACAAAGAACUUUAGUGAAUCAAUAUGAGUAUAUGUCAAUAAAUAAUUAAAUUUCAGCAAUAAGAAGUAAGUAAGAUCUGAACAUUAUGAUGCAUUCAUGCAAAGAAUAUUUAUGAUACAGUACCUACAAUAUCCAAUGCUGGAUCUUAACUUAAUAUGAGUAUAUGUCAAUAAACAAUUAAAUGUCAGCUAUAAGAAGUUAAGUAAGAUCUGAACAUUAUGAUGCAUUCAUGCAAAGAAUAUUUAUGAUACAGUACCUACAAUAUCCAAUGCUGGAUCUUAACUUGAUGAGACCCAUGUACUUUUAUGACAGUGAAUAUAAGAACCAAAGUUACAUACAGUUAAAUUAAAUGAUGAUCAUAAAGGCAAUAGCAGUAAAAUAAACUCACCCAAAUAAACCGAUGGAGUUGAGGUCAAUGAUAAUAGCAGCAAUCAUAAAAUUACACUAGGCAUCCAGGUUUAUAUGCAGAGAAAUACCAGUAUACCACGAUUAAGAAAUACCUCAAUUUUCUAGUCCAGGUUAUAUUAUAUGCAGAGAGCAACUAACAGAGGUAAAAAAAAAGAGGCAUCCCACUAUAUGGCACUGCAUAUACUUGCAUAAAGUCAUUAAGACCGACAAGCAUUAUGGCCAACAAAGCAAGUCCAAAGAAGAACAAAUAAAUAAACUCAAGUCGACCUAUCCACCUAAAAAUUAGCAAAGAGGUAUAUAUGCCUGAGCAACUAUCUGAUGAAGACAUAAUAUUCUGCUAGAGGAUCUCAUAGUCUAGGUACAAAACGCUAGACAAAGAUGCAUCGAAUGAAUAAUCUAAACAGACUAUUUCACCAGAUUUUGCUCCACACGAACAACAGGUUCAUAAUAAGAUCCACAUUCUCUUAACGAGUCAAAUAGGUUAUGUACCUUAAGAGCAUGGUAUGGUGGAGUCCUCUUGCUCUUGGAACAACAACGACCGUGUUUUUUGCUAGGAUAUGUUUUUACAAGAACGCGUAUCUAAACUGCAAGGUUUGGACGAACUGUGCCUUCCUUAGCUUGCUCCUUAACAAUGUUCUCCUCUUCCAGGAUAUCUUCGUCAUCAGGACCAGUAUGCUCAGGUGGUGGAAUUGAACCUAUCUAACUACAAACACCACCCUCUACCCAAAGAGAGCUAGAGGAACACAAAAGUAUCAAGUCACAACUCAUAAGUAUAACUCAGAAAGGAAAGUUGAGCAGAUACUGAAUUUCAGUAUUUUUACCUUCCACUUUGUUUCCACUUUUCCUAUCCAGUAUCCUGGCUUUAAAAAGUAGAACACUGACUUCCUCACACCAGAUACAUUUGGGAUGAUAUUACCGAAGUAGAUAGCCAAUGCGAACCGGAGGAAGAAUGUACGUAGCCGCUAGCCAUUCAUAUAUAUCAUUCUAACAAGUUCAAAUGAAUAUGUUAGGGAAUCAGAGAAAUGUAUACGUAAUGGUUUGGAACUUUGGAUAAUGAAAAUUAAUUAAUGUGUUUACAUGAAAUAUAGAUUAUGUUACUAGAAACAAACUCAUAACAAAGAGUUUAAGAAUCUUGACCUUUGAAGCCUUGUCUGGGUUACAUAGCCAACGAUAUAGAUGGAGAAACCAACAGUCAUGGUGGAAGAUGAAUUCCACAAAACUCAAGUCGACCUAUUCUCAUUCAUAACAUUCCACAAAACACAUAUGCAUCAACAAAACAACGAAUUGUAAAUCGAGCAUGUUGGUACCUGAUUGGUAACAACCUUGGCCAUCCGAGGGAAUUCCUUCACAGACUUGUGAACCAAGCUCGCAGGCUUGUUCCUCCUUCUUGGUGAUCUCCCAGAUCAGCUGUCCUGGAACGGUGGCCAUUGGAAACCUAGCAAAACCUGGAGAAGAAAGAGAGAGAAAGAGAGAGAUUCCAUUCCUCUUCUUCCUCCAAUCUCUAAAUCCCAAUCACCAUGUCUCCCAAUUCUCAGAGUCUCUCUCACUCCCACGCGCCGCCGCCUCCCCUAUAGCUCGUCUCCAUCGACCCCAAAAUCUGGCGAGCCUGCGCCGGCAACUCCUUCACCAUCCCCACCCUCCAUACUAGGGUUUACUACUUCCCCUAAGGCCACCUCGAACACUCCACCAACUCCGCUUCUUCGCUCCCCUCGUGUUCUCUCCAAGCCCCUCAUUCUCUGCCGCAUCACCGCCGUCGACUUCCUCGCCAAUCCCACCACUAACGAGAUCGUCACCAAGGUCCUCCUCCACCCCGUCCAUCCUGGACUCUCCUCUCACCACGGUGCUGCCGUUACGGUGGAGGAAAAGAACCUGGAAAGGUCGAGAUUGAGAUUGACGUUGGCCGACUUGGCGAGCUCGGGCUUGGUCGGGCUUGGCCGCGCGCCUCUUCCGGGUGGUGGCCUUGACGGUGGACAUGGUUUGCGAGGGUUUGGAGAUUUAGGGUUUGGGAGGUUGAAAUUGGGGCAGAUCUGGGUCUCCAGAUCUAGAUGAGAGAAAUUGGUUUUAGGGUAUUAGAUAGAGGAGAGGAUUCGAUCAAUUUGAGAAUGUGAAGAGGAGAGAAUUUGGUUUUUAGGGAGGAGGAAGAGAGGUUUUGGUUCUGUGGGUGAGGAAUGCUGAGAGAGAGAAAAGAGAGUUGAUAAAAGUAAAGAAAAUAUCGGGGGGAGUUGAGAGAAUGAGAGUUGGUUUUAAGUGUCAAAAAAACUCCUCCAAUUAUGCCAAAAAAAAAAACAGCUUCAGACACAUUUAAGUUUCUUCACCAUACGACAGUUUUUUGUCGUCUUAUAAGUGUAACAUUAGGGUACAUUUUUCCUUGUUUUUUGAACGACAAACGUAUGUCGUCUCAAAAACACGUUAAUUUUAACUACUAUUGAGUUGCUAUUUUCAGACGACACUCUUUUAAAUGUCUGUCGUUACAAUAUUCGGGACGACAGACUAAACGUUUUCUGUCGUCUGAAGCCAAAAAGGACGUAGUGUUCAUUCAAGGUUUCCUUUGAAAUUGAUAGCUUGCCACACUGGGUUUUCCUUCACAUUUGAGAUAUAUGGCUGAUUUUACUGCGGUUGGUUGCUCCAUUACAGUAAAUUCAUCUUCCAGAUGGUAACAAAUGGUAUAUCUUUCUAAUUCCUUUCAAUAAUGUAAAAUUAUGUUCUUCCAGUAAAAUCACUGAUAUAAUGUUGUUUGUAAAAUGGGUCUGGUGAAUGUGAGAUUUCUUAGAAGUUGAAUUUGGAUGUUUUUUCAUUCCUGUAUUUUUCAUAUUUAAGUUUCACCCUUGUUGGAAGCAUUUGCUUAGUGAACUUCGUUUUGGUUUUAUUAUGUCACUUGUUAUUGAGAGUUUAGGUUGCCCGCUGAUAUCGCCUGUUGGUUCUUAAGGUUUUGAGUUGAUUAUAUGUUCCAGUGUCUUUGUAAGAUGGGUCUGGUAUAUGUGAGAUUUCUUAGAAGUUGAAUUUGGAUGUUUUUUCAUUCCUGUUAUUUUUCAUAUUUAAGUUU